UACGUAGGCAGCAAGCGUUGUUCGGAGUUACUGGGCGUAAAGCGUGCGUAGGUGGUUUGUUAAGUCUGCUGUGAAAGCCCCGGGCUCAACCUGGGAAUGGCAGUGGAUACUGGCAAGCUAGAGUGCGGUAGAGGGGUGUGGAAUUCCCGGUGUAGCGGUGAAAUGCGUAGAGAUCGGGAGGAACACCAGUGGCGAAGGCGGCACCCUGGACCAGCACUGACACUGAGGCACGAAAGCGUGGGGAGCAAACAGG
rnacentral:rRNA from 1 species